rnacentral:rRNA from 1 species
UACGGAGGGGGCUAGCGUUGUUCGGAAUUACUGGGCGUAAAGCGCACGUAGGCGGCUUUGUAAGUUAGAGGUGAAAGCCCAGGGCUUAACCCUGGGAAUUGCCUUUAAGACUGCAUCGCUAGAAUCGUGGAGAGGUGAGUGGAAUUCCGAGUGUAGAGGUGAAAUUCGUAGAUAUUCGGAAGAACACCAGUGGCGAAGGCGACUCACUGGACACGUAUUGACGCUGAGGUGCGAAAGCGUGGGGAGCAAACAGG